rnacentral:tRNA from 1 species
GCUCACCAUCGGCGAGCUGGUCGCGUUCGUCAGCCUCCAACUGAUGCUCAUCUGGCCGGUGCAGUCGCUGGGUUGGAUCAUCGCCAACGGUCAGGA